rnacentral:lncRNA from 1 species
UUCAAGGUAAACAUUAGUAUUAAUAUGUAUCCUUUUUUUUAUGUGUUCCUAGAAUCCUGUUACACCUGGGAUUUAGGCACUUUCAAUCUGAAAAAAACAUAUCCCUUCGGCACUCUGGAUGGACUUGAGAAUUGUCCUUACCUGAACUAAAGCUGGAGUAUUUUGAGAUUGGAGAAUUAAGGACAGGAAAUUGAGGCUGUUCCCUUGACCUCUCCAGACAACUUCGUGGUGACUUCAAGCCCUCUUAUGAGGUGGUGGAUCAUAGCUACCGUUGAUUGAGACUAUGUGUCCAGACUUCCAGAGAGCAGACAUAUUGAUGCAGUCGAAUUGCCCACCUUUCACAUUCCCCUUAUUGUUCCAUGGAUGGAGUAUAAUAAAUUGGCAAUUAAUGGAAGAGAAAAGAAGGACAGAAUAAUGGGCUCCAGAUUCGCAAGCCCCACCAAGAGGAUCACCCCAGGAACCCUUGGAGGCUGAGGAGUUCACUGAGGCU